rnacentral:lncRNA from 1 species
CACCCUCGCCAAGUGUCUGAAAGCCCAGCGGCAGCCUGGCUCCUUCCCUCACCAACUCAUUCAUUCAUUGCCUGACCCCAUUUCCCAAGCUGGUGACCACGGCUGGUCAGGACUCGCUUCUAAAGGGCGCGGGGUCUGGCUUCCUCACCAGCAGCCACAGGGCACAGCUCCCGGACCAGCCGGCAGCCCCUCCCAAGGAGGAGGUUAUUCUGGAGACAAAGGCAGCGCCCUGAGGUAGAGUAUGAUCCUGUGUCCAUCAACACUUCCUAACGUGCAUGUAGAAGCUAAAAUUGUUAAGAUUUGCGAAAUACUUUUACCUCGAAGUUGGCAGUGACAUCAUUCUGUUUUUUCCUGGGUGCGGAGGAGUAAUUUCAGAAGGAGACAUUUUGUAAAAUUAAAAGAGGCAUGAGCUCCUCCUUCCUGGCAACCUGGGGGAUCACAAAGACAGACGGCACCUCCCCAGGCACCUGCGCCUGUGUCCGACGGCAAAGCCAUUGUCAAGCGAACCUGAUGCUGUCACUGGUCACCCGGAGCCCAUCAGCAUGUUGACCCGGGGCCCAUCAGCAUGUUGAAGGAAAGGCAUCAUCACAUUUUAUGAAUGACAGA